GCCAAUUUAGCUCAGUUGGUAGAGCAACUGAUUCGUAAUCAGUUGGUCGUAGGUUCGAUCCCUAUAAUUGGCACCA
rnacentral:tRNA from 1 species